rnacentral:rRNA from 1 species
CGUAGGGAGCGAGCGUUGUCCGGAAUUACUGGGCGUAAAGGGUGCGUAGGUGGCCUAGCAAGUCAGAUGUGAAAUCCCCGGGCUUAACUCGGGGGUGCAUUUGAAACUGCAAGGCUUGAGUGCAGGAGAGGAAAGCGGAAUUCCUAGUGUAGCGGUGAAGUGCGUAGAUAUUAGGAGGAACACCAGUGGCGAAGGCGGCUUUCUGGACUGUAACUGACACUGAGGCACGAAAGCGUGGGGAGCAAACAGGAUUAGAUACCCUGGUAGUCCACGCGGUAAACGAUGGAUACUAGGUGUGGGGGAGAUACAACCUCCGUGCCGCAGCUAACGCAAUAAGUAUCCCGCCUGGGGAGUACGGCCGCAAGGCUG